ACCUACAAGCGGUGGAUCAC
rnacentral:rRNA from 2 species